rnacentral:rRNA from 1 species
GAUAAACGCUGGCGGCGUGCUUAACACAUGCCAGUCGAACGAAGUUUUUCUUUCGGGAGGAACUUAGUGGCGGACGGGUGAGUAACGCGUGGGUAACCUGCCCUGUACAGGGGGACAACAGCUGGAAACGGCUGCUAAUACCGCAUAAGCCCUUAGCACUGCAUGGUGCAUAGGGAAAAGGAGCAAUCCGGUACAGGAUGGACCCGCGUCUGAUUAGCCAGUUGGCAGGGUAACGGCCUACCAAAGCGAUGAUCAGUAGCCGAUCUGAGAGGAUGUACGGCCACAUUGGGACUGAGACACGGCCCAGACUCCUACGGGAGGCAGCAGUGGGGAAUAUUGCACAAUGGAGGAAACUCUGAUGCAGCGACGCCGCGUGAGUGAAGAAGUAUUUCGGUAUGUAAAGCUCUAUCAGCAGGGAAGAAAAUGACGGUACCUGACGAAGAAGCACCGGCUAAAUACGUG